rnacentral:rRNA from 1 species
GAUGAACGCUGGCGGCGUGCCUAAUACAUGCAAGUCGAGCGAACAGACGAGGAGCUUGCUCCUCUGACGUUAGCGGCGGACGGGUGAGUAACACGUGGAUAACCUACCUAUAAGACUGGGAUAACUUCGGGAAACCGGAGCUAAUACCGGAUAAUAUAUUGAACCGCAUGGUUCAAUAGUUAAAGACGGUUUUGCUGUCACUUAUAGAUGGAUCCGCGCCGCAUUAGCUAGUUGGUAAGGUAACGGCUUACCAAGGCAACGAUGCGUAGCCGACCUGAGAGGGUGAUCGGCCACACUAGGACUGAGACACGGUCCAGACUCCUACGGGAGGCAGCAGUAGGGAAUCGUCGGCAAUGGGCGAAAGCCUGACGGAGCAACGCAGCGUGAGUGAUGAAGGUCUUCGGAUCGUAAAACUCUGUUAUUAGGGAAGAACAAAUGUGUAAGUAACUAUGCACGUCUUGACGGUACCUAAUCAGAAAGCCACGGCUAACUACGUG